GACGAACGCUGGCGGCGUGCUUAACACAUGCAAGUCGAACGGUAAGGCCUUCGGGUACACGAGUGGCGAACGGGUGAGUAACACGUGGGUGAUCUGCCCCCUACUCUGGGAUAAGCCUGGGAAACUGGGUCUAAUACCGGAUAUGACCUCCUUCUGCAUGGUUGGUGGUGGAAAGUUUUUUCGGUAGGGGAUGAGCCCGCGGCCUAUCAGCUUGUUGGUGGGGUAAUGGCCUACCAAGGCGACGACGGGUAGCCGGCCUGAGAGGGCGACCGGCCACACUGGGACGGAGACACGGCCCAGACUCCUACGGGAGGCAGCAGUGGGGAAUAUUGCACAAUGGGCGAAAGCCUGAUGCAGCGACGCCGCGUGGGGGAUGACGGCCUUCGGGUUGUAAACCCCUUUCAGUCGGGACGAAGCGAGAGUGACGGUACCGAUAGAAGAAGCACCGGCCAACUACGUGCCAGCAGCCGCAGUAAGAC
rnacentral:rRNA from 1 species